rnacentral:rRNA from 1 species
AUUGAACGCUGGCGGCAUGCCUUACACAUGCAAGUCGAACGGCAGCACGGGUGCUUGCACCUAGUGGCGAGUGGCGAACGGGUGAGUAAUACAUCGGAACAUGUCCUGUAGUGGGGGAUAGCCCGGCGAAAGCCGGAUUAAUACCGCAUACGAUCUACGGAUGAAAGCGGGGGACCUUCGGGCCUCGCGCUAUAGGGUUGGCCGAUGGCUGAUUAGCUAGUUGGUGGGGUAAAGGCCUACCAAGGCGACGAUCAGUAGCUGGUCUGAGAGGACGACCAGCCACACCGGGACUGAGACAUGGCCCAGACUCCUACGGGAGGCAGCAGUGGGGAAUUUUGGACAAUGGGCGAAAGCCUGAUCCAGCAAUGCCGCGUGUGUGAAGAAGGCCUUCGGGUUGUAAAGCACUUUUGUCCGGAAAGAAAUCCUUGGCCCUAAUACGGUCGGGGGAUGACGGUACCGGAAGAAUAAGCACCGGCUAACUACGUG